CCACGGAAGAAAUGAAGAAAGCUCAAAUGGGCACAGAAAAUCUUAAGCUUUGUGAGAAGUUUACAGGUGGUUCAAAUUAUUUUGGAAAGCAAUAGGCUGCCGAGUCUUGUGGUGCCCAGUGUGAUGUCUUAGUAGACAGGAUGUUCCAAAGCUUGUUGAAUACCUGAGAAGGCACUCUAAUGAGUUCACUCAUACAUAUGGCCUUCAAAAGCUUGUAGGUCAUCCAAUACUUGAUCAGAACUUCUUUCUUGAUACAACUCAUAAAAUGAGGCUUAAGGAGGAGUUCAAAAUCGAACCAUGGACUUUUGAGCAACAUGUUGGAGAAGCUGUCAUCAUUCCUGCUGGAUGCCCUUACCAAAUUAGGAAUCUUAAGUCAUGCGUUAAUGUUGUAUUGGACUUUGUCUCGCCUGAAAAUGUUACUGUAUGCAACCAGUUGAUUGAUGAAGUCCGUCUGCUUCCAGAGAACCAUAAUGCCAAAGUAGAUAGUCUAGAGGUGAAGAAAAUGACACUUCAUAGUAUUAGCAGAGCAAUCAAAGAAAUCCGUGAGCUUACAUGUGCAGAGUAAGUGCCUUUAUUGAAGUAUAAAAGUAAUGCUUUUUGCUUCUCUGUUUAGCUCCAGCAUGUAGCUCUAACCAAAUAUUCAAGGUUUCAUGUUUAUGUUGCUUUGUUGCGUUGGCUAAAGAUUGCAAAGUGGACAGACUAACAUCAAGCAUGUGAAAACCUAACGUGUUCUGAGAGUCACAAUCAUUAAUAUUAGCUUGAGGGACUAUGUUGAACAUCUUUUUCUAACGAGGCUAUCAAAAUUAUGGGCUGAAAUUGUAGAAACAUCUAGAUCUUGUAUGUCUUCCUUUUUUUUCCCCUCAUAAAUGAGGACAUCUAAUCAAUGGAUUUGAUGUGUAUGCUAGCUAGUUUCCUCUGUAAAUGACCUUGGAUUGAAUCCUGUUGGCACUUGGGAUGAAGUGCUAUCCCUCUGUUGUGAGUUGUGUGAGAGUGUGCAAAUGCAUUAUCCAAUGCUAAGAACGUGGCUGACAUCCAUCAUCUCUCUUCUACUAAGAGUUCCACUGGAAUCACUAUCAUUGCUUUUAAUGAGUUCUCUUCUACUAAGAGUUCCACUGGAAUCACUAUCAUUGCUUUUAAUGAGUAUGGUUACCGAGGUUUCUACAAUAAGCUAGUUUAGCCUCAUUCUUUGAAAGAUAAGCAGAAUGGACUCCUCUACCACGUUUGAAUAACACUUCAUAUAAUUUUUGAAAAAUAUGAUUUUAGAGUUGUUUCAUUAUGCCCAUCAUAUAUUCCCAAUUCUUUCCUUGUUCUUAUAGUAUGGCUUCAUUUGAGAAGAUGAGGAUUUGAAAUUAUGGGGGUUUCAGAGUUGAAUUUGAUAUUUUGUUGAUAUUUCAUGAUUUUUAACUCAAAACAGAAAACCAAGUUCACCUUCAUUUGGAAUGCACAUUUAUCAAAUAUACCAUUAGAUUUUUUUUUUUUCUUUUUUUGAGAUGAGUACUGAAUUUUUUGAGGGUUGGGUUAGAUUGACUGCUGCUCUAAUACAGGAGGUGAGUAAUAUUUUUUUUUCAUUGUGAUUAUCAUUGGGUGGAGACUCUUUAUCAUGAUUGCUAUUUGCUUUGUCUCCUACAGUAUUAUAUUUCUUGUGUUCUCUUUAUCCUUUUAUUUUGGUACAGUAUGAACAGUAGAAGCUCAAGAGAGAUGCUCCUAUCAUUUUUAUAAUAAAAGAUGAAUUAUCCAUAUUG
rnacentral:misc_RNA from 1 species